rnacentral:rRNA from 1 species
UACGUAGGAGGCGAGCGUUGUCCGGAGUUACUGGGCGUAAAGGGUGCGCAGGCGGUGGCCCGCGUGGGCGGUGAAAGCUCCUGGCUCAACUGGGAGAGGGCCGUCCAGACGGGGUCACUUGAGGGGCGGAGAGGGGCGUGGAAUUCCGGGUGGAGCGGUGAAAUGCGUAGAGAUCCGGAAGAACACCGGUGGCGAAGGCGGCCUGCUGGGCAGUGACUGUAAUGGUCAAUAGCUGACGCUGAGGCGCGACAGCGUGGGGAGCAAACAGG